GGCAAAUGUGACCACAGUUCAGUUGUUAACUGAUAUUGAUGAAGUGACAACUUUGGAGACCAGUCUUCUAAAGAGAUGCCAAGAAAGCUUCCUAGACGUUUGGGCUCUCUACCCCGCCACCCUCCUCUUGUUCCUCCUGUUGCUCCUCUCUCUUAUUGUUCAAGCUCUCGUCAUGUUAUGCCUACUCAGCUUUCUACCUGUAGACAAGCUACAGAGAGCAAUUUCAAUUCUGCUUCUCAGACUACUCAUUUGCCUUCUAUGAAGCAUACAGCCACCUACUCCAACUUAAUGGCCUACUCGCCCACCUUUUUCUCUAUUGCCAGAAGUUCCACUAAGUGUCCUGCUCUAGUUUCUCACACUUCCUGUAAUGUCAAGUCUCCCUUCACUCCGCCUAACAGCCCCACUGAAUCAUUCCCUAGUCUGUCAUACUCACCAAGAGGACAGCUGCUGCCUGCAGGACUGAAUAAGAUACAUUUCGAUCCCAGGAAGGGGAUUUAGCAGGCUGUAAUUGAGAGACAUUCAAAGAAUCGAGGAGAAACCAAUGUCUUCGGAAGGCUACAGAAUCACCAGAAAGCCAUGCUUUUGCAAGAUACCUUAGAAUUUUACACGAUCACUGGAUAUCAUUGUGUUCAUUAGGGUACAAGGAAGAAAUGCCCUAGGACAUACAGACUGUUCAGAGAUGCAAGAUGAAUGUGGAAGUUUUGUAGAGAGGAGGCAGAAGAUGAACUAUGGGGAAUGGUGAUGGGGAACACUUGAAGAUCAUGAACCUGAGCAUGGCUCCUGACAAGAUAACAUCUGCCGCCUAAGCCUGACCUUGCAGGUCACCGUCCAUUCAGUGUGAAGCUAUAUAUUAAAAGAAAGAAAGAAAA